rnacentral:lncRNA from 1 species
UGCGAUAUCCUGCCACGAUGGUUGCUAUCACAAGAGCAUUCCUCCGGUGGCAGUUUAUUUGUUAAAUUGCUAGCACUUUGAAUCAAGAUUCUCUGUUCAACACGCGCAGGGAAUGAAAAGCAGAAAUCACCAGGUUCCUAUUCUUUUUCUUGGUCUUUAUAGGGAGCUUUUCAUAUAAAACUGUUUCCGGCUACUUUUUCCAAGCAUCAUGUACUGUCUCCUUGGUUUGCUUGAUUGAAAAAAAAACACCAUCACUGCAAAGCAAUUACACAGAAAAUGGUGUUAUCAUCGAGAGUUUUAUUUUCCCUUGUAGAGUUUUUGGAUGUAAAAAUACUUGUCACAUAAGUAGUUGAUAGCGACGUGCAAGAAUUUUGUACAUACACACACAAUACUGUAUAGAAACAUUUUUUUUACUCGACUACACAUGCACAUAGUCACAAUGUUUUUGUAUGAAGGAAUUAAAUUUUGUUUGAGUUAUUUUUUAUUUAAGAAAUUAAACCAGGAAAUUUUGUUUAACAUUGAGUUGAUAUGUUAAACAGUAUCACAAAAAUAUUAGUAACUCAAUAGAGGGAGGGAAAGAAAGUAAGAAACUAAUAUUCCCUUUGCCGAUAAGAACUAUAGGUUUAUAUAUGUUUCCUAGCCUUGGCAUUGUUUAAUAUAACAUCCAAUUCAUUAAUUAGAACAAAAUAGCAGCACCAGCUCUUUCGUUCUCUUAUAAACGGGGACACUGCUAUUAACCACCGAAGCAUGACAGGUUUGGAUUAUUAAUGCUUCACGAUUUCCACUUUUAAAACUCAAAACACAUCAAUUCGUUAGUAUAAGAGUAGCUCAUGUUGUGUAAAACUAAAAUACAGUCUUUGAGAAUUUAUUUGCUUGGGGCAAAAAAUCUUGAUAACUUAACAAUCAUUUCAUGAUUUGAACUAGGUUGCAGAACAACAAAAUAAAUUAUCACCAAAUAGUGAGGAAAAGUUUUUUUUACCUUACAAAAAGGAGGGAGGCAAUAGGCUAUGGAGUUUUCAAAAAGUUACUGCCUAUCAUUAAUGUGAAACAUAAAUGCAAAGAAUAAACAAUGACAAAACUGAAAUUUUCUUUUCAAAGAACACUGCGGAGCAUACAAAAAGGCAACUGGUUCAUGCUUCUAGUUUCAAGGAAACAAAAGAUCUUGGAGAGUACCUUGGAAUCCCUUUAUCGGGCAGAUCGCCUAUGAGAGGAGAUUAUCAAUACAUUAUUGAUCAGGUUAAGGCAAAGUUGGAAGCCUGGAAAAGUGAUCAUCAGUCAUUUGCUGGGAGAGUCACUCUAGCUAA